rnacentral:lncRNA from 1 species
CAAUCAGAUGUGAAUCAGAAGUUUUCACGUAGGUGCUGGUGAAGCCAGGUGAUUCAACAGCUGAAUCUGGAGAUAUUGGCAGAAGACCAUGCAUUCUUGAAGGUUUUUCGGGAGGAUUUUGUUCACAGUCUGCAGCUUGCGGAGAAGGUGUAGGCACAUCCUUAGGUCUCUGCCUAUCAUUUACAGGAGCAUGUGUAGCGAACGUCAUAUCCGGUUGCGUCUGGAAAGGUGUAGCCUCAUCCUGAGUUAGAGCAGGCUGCUCUUUACUAAUUGACGAAAGUGGCG